GUAAAAUUGCAUAAAAUGAAAUCAUUAUCACUCAGCAACUAAAGAAGACAGCUCAGCUGAUGAAGAUCCAAGUUGUAAAUGACUGCCGUGUCUGCCUGAGUCAAGCAGAACAAAAUCUGUGACAUUUCAACCCAGCUGAGAUUCUGAGGAGAUUAGACUGAGCAACACUAUGGUGGACAGGAUUUUUUUUUCCAGUUCUUGAUAUGAAUCGGAGAAAUAAGAGUACUGUUCCUCUUGAAGCUUCAAAUGUAAUGCAUUGAUCUUUUUCACCUUUGCUACAGUUGAAUGUUUCCCUACACAUAGAGGAAUCUCACAGGAAGUGAUGCAACUGUUUUGUGCUAAGUAUGGGCUAUGUUAUGCCACAAAAAACAAGGUCUACUAAUCUAUGAGUAACUUUACACUGUUUCUGUCACACAAAUCUGAGACAGCUCCACGACUGCUGCACUACUGUAUCCUGUCAAGUAAUGUGUAGAUUUUGUUUGAAGUGCAGAAUUUAUAAGCCAAAAUAAACAGUAAAGAAGCAAUGAAAGA